GCUGAGUCUUGUGGUUGAUGUGCUAGAUAUUUUAGCUUCAACUCUCGGUUGCAUAGCACCACGGGAUUCAGCCGC
rnacentral:pre_miRNA from 1 species